GCGUGGUGGAGCACAGGCUCCUCUUCAGGCCUCCGACGUUCACAUGGAUCAGACCCUCGUCCGAGUCCCGGUGGACCCAGCGGGGCACGCUCUCCUUCACCAUGAUUACCGACUGUGGGGGGGGAAAAGACACAACUUAGACCAACAGUGAGCCCAUGUGGCCCCUCCCCCUGGUCGAUGGAGGACCCAUGCUGAGGCCUCAGGGAGCCGCCUGCUGCUCCCACAGAAAUAAAGUUGAUCUAUAAUUCAGCACGAGGAAGCUCAGCGGUGCAGAGAAGAAGAAAAACACACCUUCGAUAACAAACUCCCUUCGACACCGAACACGAUGCGACUUCACUUCACUGCAGACAAAAGAAAUCUGUUCACGCUCGGCUCCAGUUUGAGAUUUUGA